rnacentral:rRNA from 1 species
AUUGAACGCUGGCGGCAGGCCUAACACAUGCAAGUCGAACGAGUGGCGGACGGGUGGGUAAUGUCUGGGAAACUGCCUGAUGGAGGGGGAUAACUACUGGAAACGGUAGCUAAUACCGCAUACCAUCGGAUGUGCCCAGAUGGGAUUAGCUAGGAGGUGGGGUAAAGGCUCACCUAGGCGACGAUCCCUAGCUGGUCUGAGAGGAUGACCAGACACAGUGUAACUGAAACACGGUCAAGACGCCUACGGGGGGCAGCAGUGGGGAAUAGUGGAGAAUGGGAGCAAGCCUGAGGCAGCCAUGCCGCGUGUAUGAAGAAGGCCUUCGAGUUGUAAAGUACUUUCAGAGGGGAGGCGUUACCCGCAGAAGAAGCACCGGCUAACACCGUGCCAGCAGCCGCGGUAAUAC